ensembl:lncRNA
CGCGCAAUGAACUUGAAGCGCAGAUGGCGUGACCGCGCUACUCUGAAACGCAGAUGGCGUGACUGCAGUUGAAGGAAAGCAACAGCAUGCUGCUCAGUGAUUCUUUUAAUCUUGUUUGUCACAUUUUCAUAUUGGUUGGAAGCCAAAUCGAAACCGAAACUAAAAUCUGAUUCGUACAGCUCCGCUGCUAACUCACGAUGAAUUUGAGUAGAUUUCCCCGCGAGCUCUUCAGGAGAACACAAGACAAGUCUUUCAGCGUUUUUCUUCCGAUUUAGAUUUAAAGGUGUUAUUGUUAAAAUGGCGACAGUAGCAGCAGGUAGACGUAGUCCAUUAUUUGAUCGUCCUGACAGCUCUGUGAGCUGAGCAGAGAGCAAGAUGAAGAUCCGGUGUGUGAUGCUGGCGUGUGCACUGACGCUGAGCUGCGUGUCCUCCGUCCCGAACCCAACCAGACACUCUCACCAUUCACAAACACACGCUCAGUGUUCUCAAAGACUACAGGACCUAGAGAGAAAACCAUACAGACAUCUGCCUGAUGCUCGUA